CGCCGCGGUUACACUGAAGGCCCAAAAUAACACCCCCGGCAAAUAUGGCUAAAAACUACCAACCACUAAGAAUGAACUAAACUUAACACGUGAAACAAUACCCCACAGACAACCAAAAAUCUUACAUACAAGGUCUUUUGACCCAUAAAAGUUAGGGCA
rnacentral:rRNA from 1 species